GACGAAGGGGGCUAGCGUUGCUCGGAAUCACUGGGCGUAAAGCGCACGUAGGCGGCUUCUUAAGUCAGGGGUGAAAUCCUGGAGCUCAACUCCAGAACUGCCUUUGAUACUGAGAAGCUUGAGUCCGGGAGAGGUGAGUGGAACUGCGAGUGUAGAGGUGAAAUUCGUAGAUAUUCGCAAGAACACCAGUGGCGAAGGCGGCUCACUGGCCCGGUACUGACGCUGAGGUGCGAAAGCGUGGGGAGCAAACAGG
rnacentral:rRNA from 1 species